rnacentral:snRNA from 1 species
UAGGCUUCUCGGCCUCUUGGCUAAGAUUAAGUGUAGUAUCUGUUCUUAUCAGUUUAAAAUCUCUAUAGUAGGCUUCUAUAAAAUAGUCUCUGUUUAAUGCUAUGUUCUUCCCAGAAGUUGCAAAAUACUUUUU